rnacentral:rRNA from 1 species
UGGGGAAUAUUGCACAAUGGGGGAAACCCUGAUGCAGCGACGCAGCGUGCGGGAUGACGGCCUUCGGGUUGUAAACCGCUUUCAGCAGGGAAGAAGCGCAAGUGACGGUACCUGCAGAAGAAGUACCGGCUAACUACSUGCCAGCAGCCGCGGUAAUACGUAGGGUACGAGCGUUGUCCGGAAUUAUUGGGCGUAAAGAGCUCGUAGGUGGUUGGUCACGUCUGCUGUGGAAACSCAACGCUUAACGUUGCGCGUGCAGUGGGUACGGGCUGACUAGAGUGCAGUAGGGGAGUCUGGAAUUCCUGGUGUAGCGGUGAAAUGCGCAGAUAUCAGGAGGAACACCGGUGGCGAAGGCGGGACUCUGGGCUGUAACUGACACUGAGGAGCGAAAGCAUGGGGAGCGAACAGGAUUAGAUACCCUGGUAGUCCAUGCCGUAAACGUUGGGCACUAGGUGUGGGGGGCAUUCCACGUUCUCCGCGCCGUAGCUAACGCAUUAAGUGCCCCGCCUGGGGAGUACGG